rnacentral:rRNA from 1 species
UACGGGGGGGGCAAGCGUUGUUCGGAAUUACUGGGCGUAAAGGGCUCGUAGGUGGCCAACUAAGUCAUACGUGAAAUCCCUCGGCUUAACCGGGGAACUGCGUCUGAUACUGGAUGGCUUGAGGUUGGGAGAGGGAUGCGGAAUUCCCAGUGUAGAGGUGAAAUUCGUAGAUAUUGGGAAGAACACCGGUGGCGAAGGCGGCUCACUGGCUCGUAACUGACGCUCAGGCGCGACAGCGUGGGGAUCAAACAGG